rnacentral:rRNA from 1 species
UCGUUUGACGUUAGCUGCAGAAGAAGCACCGGCUAACUCCGUGCCAGCAGCCGCGGUAAUACGGAGGGUGCGAGCGUUAAUCGGAAUUACUGGGCGUAAAGCGCAUGCAGGUGGUUUGUUAAGUUCAGAUGUGAAAGACCCGGGGCGUCAACCUCGGAAUUGCAUUUGUAAACUAGGCAGACUAGAGUACUGUAGAGGGGGGUAGGAAGUUUCAGGUGUAGCGGUGAAAUGCGUAGAGAUCUGAAGGAAUACCGGUGGCGAAGGCGGCCCCCUCGGACAGAUACUGACACUCAGAUGCGAAAGCGUGGGGAGCAAACAGGAUUAGAUACCCUGGUAG